UUUGCCAAAGAGAAACUCGGCAGGCCGGGCAAGUCCCUGAACUUCCUUGAGCUCUGGUUUCUCAUUUGUAAAAUGAAAAUAUUAUGGGCUUAUCAUCAGGAAGCUGGGGAAGUGAAGAAGAGGCAACCUUCUGGGAAAUUGAGAAACUGGUCUCACUGCCCUCAAGGCCAUUACCAUCUCACCAAGCAUCUGCUUCACACAGCUGCUCAGCUACCUUCCUGGCUUCAAGGAUCCUGCCCUGAACAUGCUCAAGGCUGAGGAGGGCACCGAGGUUUCCCAGCAGCCCCUCCUCAACACCCAAGUCAGACAGCAAAGCUCAGAAACCAGUGAUGAGCUGAGCCUCACAUGCCUAAAACACACACUACAGCAUUAAUGUUCACUCUGAGAACAGGUUAAAUCCUUAACUGAGGUUGACAUGAAUCUUUAUUACCAUAUAAAAUUAAUGCCAUAAUAUUACAAUACUACCGCCUGCUGUUAUUAAUGGCUACUCUUUAGGAAUAUUUACUAUUCAUUAAAGUAACAUACAAAUGAACCAGAUAUUAAUUACCAGUGUCAUCAAAACUCAAAAGUAAAAUGACACCUGGAAACAGGUUCCACAAUAUUUAAAGUACCAGGAGAUAUUACACUCAGGAACAAAUACCAAAACCACAGAUUUUCUUUCCCUAUAUUUUAAAAUAGUCAUUUGAAAUUUUAAAAUAAAGUUCUAACCUCUAAAGUUAACAAAGGUAAAGAAACAGCAGACAUGUACUGUAUAUGUCUUUUUCUCACCAAAUAAAACAGACUUUAAACCUGUCAGAAAG
rnacentral:lncRNA from 10 species